UUCAUAUAGCGCUUUUCAAGGCACCCAAAGCGCUUUACAAUGCCACUAUUCAUUCACUCUCACAUUCACACCCUAGUGGAGGCAAGCUACUGUUGUAGCCACAGCUGCCCUGGGGCAGACUGACAGAGGCGAGGCUGCCAUAUCGCGCCAUCGGCCCCUCUGGCCAACACCAGUAGGCGGUAGGGUAAAGUGUCUUGCCCAAGGACACAACGACCAGGACAGAGAGCCCAGGGAUCGAACCGGCGACCUUCCGGUUGCAGAUACGCUUCCCAACCCCCUGAGCCACGGUCGCCCAGGCAGAAAUAUUCCUAAUACUGCAUACUUGCAAUGAAUAAGUUGUCCUAACAGUCAUCUUAAGUAAGCUUUACUUAGUUUUUUUGAGUUCUGGAAACUAAAUAGGCUGUAAGGUAUACUCAAAAUGAGUUUCCCUAGCUUAAUCAUCUUGUAGCUGUCGCAUUGAAAUGUAAUUAUUAUGUGAUUGCAAUGUUCAAAAUUUGGUGUUUAAUCUGGAUUCGUGUUGUGUUGUCGCCACCUACUGGUGGACCUGAGUGUGGCGCUUUGUGUGCGCACGCUUUGGGGUGAUGUUCAAUUAAGCGCACAUGUCACCAGAGACUGAAGGCUCGAGCCAGAAAGAGAAUGCUGGCUUGUGUAAAAGGUGGAAAUAUGGAAGAUAUGGACUACAAUUUCUCAUGAAUGUUCAGUAGAAAGGCGCACACGGUAUGUUGGUGCAUUUACUUUGUGUGGAUGUUUUAUUUGAGUUGUAAUUUUUGUUCUGCUGAUGUAAUAUCCGUGUUUUUCAUUGAUCAUUUCACCAUAGUUUCUCACGGUGUUUGCUGGUGAAAAGAAGAUUAAAAUACUGGCUAAACAUCAGUUGGAGCAUUGCCCUUUAUUCUACUUCGAAUAUGAAAAACCUUCAGGAGCAGUUACAGUGAAAAACGUGGCCUGUUAUGGAGCGAGCAGCCAGAGCCCUGCACGCCAUGCUUCCAAGACGACAGCCCACAUGUGGAAGAG
ensembl:lncRNA